CUUGUGUAGAGGGAGGGGUGUAGCAGGUGGGGAUUAAAAUAGAGGUGCCAGUGGCUAUGAAUAGGCACCUAGUUCAGUUUAUACAACUCCAAAGAAGCCUCAAAAACAAAAAAAUUAAAAUGCCAGGAUGGCUACCAGUUACUUAUUAGGAAAGGAAACAUGACUUUAUUUAAUUUCAGGAGAUGAAACUACCCUAACAUUACCUUUUCCCUGAGGAGCGGGGUGGGAUGGGGCCAAGAGGACUGUCCCUUUUCUAGGCAGUCUGCAGGGCUCAAAGACAAGCAGGGCCCCUGCACCAGCACCAUGCUCUGACUGACUUCAGAAAAUAUCAUAUUUCUGCCCAUCAAUCAGCAGUAGGCUGGUUAGGGGCUGUGCUUUAGGAACAAGCAGUUGCUAGUAGCAACAGGGCACAGCUCCUUCAGGAGCUGGGGUGGGGACACUGUAGUGAGGGAGGGGUCACCUGCAUGAGAGCUGGGCGGACAAGGUGAGGGACUCCAUCUGGAAGGGAGCUGCUGGGGUCAAGAAGGGGCCUAGGCUGCUGAGCUCAAGGAGCGGGUAUGUUUCUAGUGGUGCAGCAAUGCCUUCACCAAAUUCAGCAGCCCCUGCCCACCCCACCCCCAUUCCCAGGAGCCAAAAUUUGCUAGAGACUGAACACUGGAGUCAAGACCAAGGGACCGCAGAGGCGCAGGGUGGGUAGGCAGGGUUACUCAGGACAACCCCCGAACCCGCCCCAUACAACCGUCACCCUUCAGGAGUCUCCGGGAAGUGCCAGCGUGGAAGUGUGUCUGCACGUGUGCAUGCUUUCCUUUGCGCUUCUAACACAAAAGCGAGGCCCCACAGGUGGAAAGGAGCGUGCGCGAGUGCGGCGCGGGGCUUGACCGCGUGGGAGCGGGAGCAGGAGCGGCAGCAGAACGUGGGUGCACGCACACUGCACCCUCGCGGACCUGCCUCGCGCGUUCUCGCGCAGGCUUUCUGGGAAGACAACCUUUAACCUCGCACCACCUUCCCGAACUUCUCCCCCUGCUGUUGGGAUCCGUUUCUAGUAAAAAAGAAAGAAAAAAUCCAUUCCGGCAGGCCCUGCUCCCUCGGCACCCCCACCCCCAGCUCAGUCUGAGUGGAACGAAUCUCUGCUAAUGAACUAAACAAACAGGUCCCUUAAUCUCAUCAUGGGGCUGACCCAGAGACUGGCACAGAUAUCCAAAGUAUUGUUAAUUGGCAGGUAAGAGCUGGAACUAAUAGCCAUUUGUCUGGAGUCAGAAGUUGGUUCCCAAGUACAUUGGGGAAUUCAGCUUAUGCAGGGAGAAUGGGAAUGUAAUUGGCGAAGAAGCUGGACCCUCUGCCUCCUGUUGGCAUUUCUGGAAAUAAAAGGAAAUCUACUUUGGGCA
rnacentral:lncRNA from 1 species